rnacentral:lncRNA from 1 species
CAGAAAAUCUUGUCUGCUUGUUGCUAUUCACAUUCCUGUGCUGAGCCUAUGUCUUCAUAAGCUUGUCGCGGGGAUGCUGAACAGCUCUGUUUCAGGGUAAGACAGAGUCAGAGGUCAUGGAUACCAGCACCUGAUUUGUCUAUUCUCUUCUGUCUUUCUCCAUGACUAUAUCUACUGUCUCAUCUUGCUUUACAAGCAAAACCUGGAAAACCUACCAAAGCAAUUGUUUUUGGGUUUUUCUACCAAUAGUACAGAAAAUAUGGCUGUUACUUUUGGUGCUGAAACUCAAUUUUGUGGAGCAAAUUUCAACCUGAAUUUGAAGUUUGUUUAAAAUAUUUAAACAUAGAAUAACCAUAUGACCUGACCCUUCCACUCCUAGAUAUUUACCCCCUAAAAUCGAACACAGGUAUACAACCAACAAUUUGUCUAGGAAUAUUCACAUCAGCCCUGUGCGUAAUAGUCCAAGGUGCAAGGUCCAUCAACUGAUGAAGGGAGAAACAAAAAUGGGGACAUCCAUGCAAUGGGAUAUGAAUCAGCCAUGGAAAGAAGUGAACUGCUGAUGUGUGUAUAAUCUUUAAAAACAUUAUGCUAGUGAAAGAAGGCAGACACAAAAGGAGAAAUCUUUAUGUUUCUAUAGAUACAAAAAGCCCAGAAAAGGCAGAUCAAUAGAUAGAAUGUCCCUUCCUGGUUGCCAGAGGCUGGGCGUAGGGUGGAAUGGGGAGCGACUGCUUAAUUUGUAUGGGGUUUCCUUUAGGAUGAUGAAAUCUUGUGGUCCAGACAGCAGUGAUGAUUGCACAGCACUGGGAAUGUCCUAAACCCCACUGAAUUAGCUGAAGAUUCUGAGGUCAGAAGAGACUACAUAACAUCUACGAAGUUAUCACGUUUACUAAGUGCUGAAGCCAUGUUACCAGGUGACUCUGGUGGGCCCCCGGAUGACUCCAGGAUGGGAGCGGGUUACCAGAAAGACCAAGUCUUGACUAGAAGUUUGGAAUUUUGAGCCCCAUCCUUCAUCCUCCAGAGAGGGAGAGGGGCUAGAAACGGAGUUAAUAAUUGAUCAUGCCCACGAGAGAAAGCCUCCAGAAAACCCCAACAGUACAGCGUCUGGGGAGUUUCUGGGUGAACACGUGGAGGUGCUGGGAGAGUAGUGUGCCUGGAGAGUGCAUGGAUCUGUGCCGGUUCCCCAUACCUUGCCCUAGGCAUCUCUUCCAUUUCGUUGUUUCAGAGUUAUAUUCUUCUAUGAUAAACUGGUAAUCUUAAAAGUAAAACAUAUCUCUGAGUUCUUUGAGCUGCUGUAGCAAAUUAAAUUGAACCCAAGGAGGAGGUUGUGGGAACGUCUGAUCUAUAGCCUGUCGGUCAGAAGUGCAAGUGACAACCGGGGCUUGGGAUUGGAAUCUGAGGUUGGGGGGGAACAGUCUGGUAGGACUGAACCCUCAACCUGUGGAAUCUGAUGCUGUCUCCAGGUAAACAGUGUCAGAAUUUGGGUGAAUUGAGUUGCAUUGUAGGACAGCCAGCUGGUCCAGGGUCCUGGGUCCAGGAACCUCAAAGAGGAACAGAGAAGGAAGUGACAUGAAAUAGCUGUUCUUUAAUAAUUCUAUUAUAAGAAUUAAUAAUAUUAUCUGAGGAAAUGUGGAAAUCACACAAGCCAGGAAAGGAGAGACAAAUGGCCAUAAGAUGCUUGUACAAUAAAAAGAAAUGUG